rnacentral:miRNA from 1 species
AUAUCUAAUUGAUUGUUGG